CGAGCGAGAACCCGCAAGGGGACAGCGGCGAACGGGGUAGGACAACGUAGGUGACGUACCCUCGGGGCGAGGACAGCCACGGGAAACUGUGGAUAAUACUCGAUAAAGUUCCCAAAUCGUGAUGGAAGGGGAACCAAUGGGUGAGAUUCCACCUGAGGAGCGGCUUACGCAGCAUCAGCUAGUUGGUGAGGUAACGGCUCACCAAGGCGACGACGCUUAGGGGAUGUGAGAGCAUGAUCCCCACCACUGGCACUGAGACACUGGCCAGACACCUACGGUUGGCUGCAGUCGAGAAUCUUCGGCAAUGGGCUCAAGCCUGACCGAGCGACGCCGCGUGCGGGAUGAAGGCCCUCGGGUUGUAAACCGCUGUCGGAGGGGAUGAAGUGUAUGGGAGUUAUCUCCUGUAUUUGACAGAGCCUCGGAGGAAGCACGGGCUAAGCUCGUGCCAGCAGCCGCGGUAAUACGAACUGUGCGAACGUUAUUCGGAAUCACUGGGCUUAAAGGGUGCGUAGGCGGUUUCUUAAGUCAGGUGUGAAAUCUUUCGGCUCAACCGGAAAACUGCGCUUGAUACUGGGAGACUUGAGUGAGGUAGGGGUAUGUGGAACUUCCGGUGGAGCGGUGAAAAUGUGUAGGUAUCGGAAGGAACGCCAGCAGCGAAAGCGGCAUACUGGGCCUUUUCUGACGCUGAGGCACGAAAGCCAGGGGAGCGGACGGGAUUAG
rnacentral:rRNA from 1 species